ensembl:snRNA U6 U6 spliceosomal RNA
CUGCUUUGGCAGCAUAUAUACUAAAAUUGGAAUGAUACGGGGAAGAUUAACACAGUCCCUGUGAAAGGAUGACAUGCAAAUUCAUGAAGCAUUCCAUAUUUUU